rnacentral:tRNA from 1 species
UUCGUUUUGGCUCAGUGGUUAGAGCCUAAGGCUUGUGUUCUAAAGGUCCCGAGUUCGAGCCUGGCAAGUGGCA